UACGAAGGGGGCUAGCGUUGCUCGGAAUCACUGGGCGUAAAGGGUGCGUAGGCGGGUCUUUAAGUCAGGGGUGAAAUCCUGGAGCUCAACUCCAGAACUGCCCUUGAUACUGAGGAUCUUGAGUUCGGGAGAGGUGAGUGGAACUGCGAGUGUAGAGGUGAAAUUCGUAGAUAUUCGCAAGAACACCAGUGGCGAAGGCGGCUCACUGGCCCGGUACUGACGCUGAGGUGCGAAAGCGUGGGGAGCAAACAGG
rnacentral:rRNA from 1 species